UUUUGGAGCGUUAUAUAUAGGUGCUGAAAGCAUUGCGGCAUGGCAACUCACGGAGGAGCGCGUCGCCAAUCCGGGAAGAUGCUGCCCGACUGUCGCCGCCUGCUUGCUCGGCUUCUCGCCCUCCUCGCGCUGCUGCUGCUGAUCGUCGGUGUACAUGGCCGUAUAGGAUUGAACUGCGGCAGUCAGAACCCAAACGGCUGCACAGGUCUGCCCUCUCCAGACUGUCCAGACUGUGGAUAGCAGCAGGUCUCCCUCCGAAGCAUAUGCCGACGCCGAUGACAUCUCAGGAUGUUCUGUAUCGUUCUACAAGAGUUGAUUUUGUUUCUGUAUGGUAGUAAGAGAGAUAUGAAGGUCACAAUCAUUUGCUUGCUUACGGAAUGUUAGGGAAACAAGGAUAGCUGAAUAUAAGACACAAUUCAUCAAUGAGCUUGCGUUGUGAAUACUACUACCCGGUCCCAUGAUGUAAGACGUUUUUGCAGACUAUAACAUGGCUUGCAAAAACAUCUUACAUUAUAAGACGGAGGGAAUAAAAGGCAUUUACAAUGACUAGUUGCCUUGCAAAAACAUCUUACAUUAUAAGACGGAGAGAGUAAAAGGCAUUUACAGUGACUAGUUUAGUGCCCGUGCUUUGCCACAGAA